GAUGAACGCUGGCGGCGUGCCUAAUACAUGCAAGUCGAGCGAACAGAUGAGGAGCUUGCUCCUCUGACGUUAGCGGCGGACGGGUGAGUAACACGUGGAUAACCUACCUAUAAGACUGGGAUAACUUCGGGAAACCGGAGCUAAUACCGGAUAAUAUAUUGAACCGCAUGGUUCAAUAGUGAAAGACGGUUUUGCUGUCACUUAUAGAUGGAUCCGCGCCGCAUUAGCUAGUUGGUAAGGUAACGGCUUACCAAGGCAACGAUGCGUAGCCGACCUGAGAGGGUGUUCGGCCACACUGGAACUGAGACACGGUCCAGACUCCUACGGGAGGCAGCGGUGGGGAAUCUUCCGCAAUGGGCGAAAGCCUGACGGGGCAACGCCGCGUGAGUGAUGAAGGUCUUCGGAUCGUAAAACUCUGUUAUUAGGGAAGAACAAAUGUGUAAGUAACUAUGCACGUCUUGACGGUACCUAAUCAGAAAGCCACGGCUAACUACGUG
rnacentral:rRNA from 1 species